GAAACGGUAGCUAAUACCGCAUAAUGUCCCAAGACCAAAGUGGGGGACCUUCUGGCCUCUUGCCAUCAGAUGUGCCCAGAUGGGAUUAGCUAGUAGGUGGGGUAACGGCUCACCUAGGCGACGAUCCCUAGCUGGGCUGAGAGGAUGACCAGCCACACUGGAACUGAGACACGGUCCAGACUCCUACGGGAGGCAGCAGUGGGGAAUAUUGCACA
rnacentral:rRNA from 1 species